rnacentral:SRP_RNA from 1 species
GCCGGACACGGUGGUGCAGACCUAUAGUCCCAGCUAUUUGGGAGGAUGAGGUGGGAGGAUCACUUGAGUCCAGACGUUCUGGGCUGUAGUGCGCUAUGCUGAUUGGGUAUCCUUACUUUAAGUUUGGCAUCAAUAUAGUGCCCUGCCAGGAUCGGGGCACCACCAGGUUGCCUAAGGAGGGGUGAACCAGCCCAGGUUGGAAACGGAGCAGGUCAAAACUCCCGUGCUGAAAUCCAGAUAUUGACUAAAAGAUGAUCUCAAUCCUAAGAAUUACUUUUCAAAGAGUGGUGGAACCAUUUUCU